CUUGUUAUUCUGAGAUUUUUGAUAACGAUGUUGGUGGUGCUUCACGAGGCUUUUGUCAUUUCAGACUUUGCUGGCAUUAACUGAAGGUGAAGAGUCCAGAGAGAGGCUUGGGAUUCGUGGUACCGACUGUGUGUAAACUUCAGAAUCCUUCAUGGCAAAGGAGGAACGAAAGCGAAGGCGCCGCGUGAGCCCAGGGAGGGAGGAAGCGGGCUCGCAGGUGAAGGCUCCAGCCAGCUGGAGAUCUCUGUCUCAGCUCUGUGGAGAAGGCUCCCGGACAACCUAGUCCUGCCCUUGCUGACACAGUGUCCUGAGGACCAGCUGCGGAGCAGCAGGGCUUUACGGAGCAGGGAUUUCCUCACUCUCUGAGAGCUGUUUGGU
rnacentral:lncRNA from 1 species